UACGAAGGGGGCUAGCGUUGCUCGGAAUUACUGGGCGUAAAGCGCACGUAGGCGGUCUUUUAAGUCGGGGGUGAAAUCCUGGAGCUCAACUCCAGAACUGCCUUUGAUACUGGCGAUCUCGAGUCCGGGAGAGGUGAGUGGAACUGCGAGUGUAGAGGUGAAAUUCGUAGAUAUUCGCAAGAACACCAGUGGCGAAGGCGGCUCACUGGCCCGAUACUGACGCUGAGGCACGAAAGCGUGGGGAGCAAACAGG
rnacentral:rRNA from 1 species